rnacentral:rRNA from 1 species
GAAUAUUGGACAAUGGGCGCAAGCCUGAUCCAGCAAUGCCGCGUGAGUGAAGAAGGCCUUAGGGUUGUAAAGCUCUUUCGCCCGCGACGAUGAUGACGGUAGCGGGAGAAGAAGCCCCGGCUAAUUCCGGGCCAGCAGCCGCGGUCAUACGGAAGGGGCUAGCGUUGUUCGGAUGCACUGGGCGUAAAGCGCGCGUAGGCAGCCUUGCAAGUGCGGCGUGAAAGUCCUGGGCUCAACCUGGGGACGGCGCUGCGGACUGCUUGGCUGGAGUCCGGAAGAGGGUGGUGGAAUUCCGAGUGUAGAGGUGAAAUUCGUAGAUAUUCGGAGGAACACCGGUGGCGAAGGCGGCCACCUGGUCCGGUACUGACGCUGAAGCGCGAAAGCGUGGGGAGCAAACAGG